CAGUAGCCACGGGAAUACGAAGGGUGCAAGCGUUAAUCGGAAUUACUGGGCGUAAAGCGUGCGUAGGCGGUUUGUUAAGUCUGUUGUGAAAUCCCCGGGCUCAACCUGGGAAUGGCAAUGGAUACUGGCAAGCUAGAGUGUGUCAGAGGAUGGUGGAAUUCCCGGUGUAGCGGUGAAAUGCGUAGAGGUCGGGAGGAACAUCAGUGGCGAAGGCGGCCAUCUGGGACAACACUGACGCUGAGGCACGAAAGCGUGGGGAGCAAACAGGAUUAGAUACCCCCGUAGUCCCUGUCUCUUAUAC
rnacentral:rRNA from 1 species